rnacentral:rRNA from 1 species
CCUACGGGAGGCAGCAGUGAGGAAUAUUGGUCAAUGGGCGCGAGCCUGAACCAGCCAUGUAGCGUGAAUGAUGACUGCCCUACGGGUUGUAAACUUCUUUUAUAAAGGAAUAAAGUGAGGCACGUGUGCCUUUUUGUAUGUACUUUACGAAUAAGGAUCGGAUAACUCCGUGCCAGCAGCCGCGGUAAUACGGAGGAUCCGAGCGUUAUCCGGAUUUAUUGGGUUUAAAGGGAGCGUAGAUGGGUUGUUAAGUCAGUUGUGAAAGUUUGGGGCUCGACCGUAAAAUUGCAAUUGAUACUGGCAGGCUUGAGUCCUGUUGAGGGGGGCGGAAUUCGUGGUGUAGCGGUGAAAUGCUUAGAUAUCACGAAGAAUACCGAUUGCGAAGGCAGCCUACUAAAC